rnacentral:rRNA from 1 species
UACGAAGGGGGCUAGCGUUGCUCGGAAUCACUGGGCGUAAAGGGUGCGUAGGCGGGUUUUUAAGUCAGGGGGGAAAUCCUGGAGCUCAACUCCAGAACUGCCUUUGAUACUGAGGAUCUUGAGUUCGGGAGAGGUGAGUGGAACUGCGAGUGUAGAGGUGAAAUUCGUAGAUAUUCGCAAGAACACCAGUGGCGAAGGCGGCUCACUGGCCCGAUACUGACGCUGAUGCACGAAAGCGUGGGGAGCAAACAGG